rnacentral:rRNA from 1 species
CGGGUGAGUAAUGUAUGGGGAUCUGCCUGAUGGCGGGGGAUAACUACUGGAAACGGUAGCUAAUACCGCAUAAUGUCUGCGGACCAAAGCGGGGGACCUCCGGGCCUCGCGCCAUCAGAUGAACCCAUAUGGGAUUAGCUAGUAGGUGGGGUAACGGCUCACCUAGGCGACGAUCCCUAGCUGGUCUGAGAGGAUGACCAGCCACACUGGAACUGAGACACGGCCCAG